ACUGGCGGCGUGCCUAAUACAUGCAAGUCGAACGUCACUCUCGUUUAGAUUGAAGGAGCUUGCUCCUGAUUGAUAACAUUUGAGUGAGUGGCGGACGGGUGAGUAACACGUGGGUAACCUGCCCUAAAGUGGGGGAUAACAUUUGGAAACAGAUGCUAAUACCGCAUAAAACCUAACACCGCAUGGUGUAGGGUUGAAAGAUGGUUUCGGCUAUCACUUUAGGAUGGACCCGCGGUGCAUUAGUUAGUUGGUGAGGUAAAGGCUCACCAAGACCGUGAUGCAUAGCCGACCUGAGAGGGUAAUCGGCCACACUGGGACUGAGACACGGCCCAGACUCCUACGGGAGGCAGCAGUAGGGAAUCUUCCACAAUGGACGAAAGUCUGAUGGAGCAACGCCGCGUGAGUGAAGAAGGUUUUCGGAUCGUAAAACUCUGUUGUUGGAGAAGAAUGUAUCUGAUAGUAACUGAUCAGGUAGUGACGGUAUCCAACCAGAAAGCCACGGCUAACUACGUG
rnacentral:rRNA from 1 species